rnacentral:tRNA from 1 species
GUCAGGAUGGCCGAGUGGUCUAAGGCGCCAGACUCAAGGAUUAGUUCCUUCCCGAUUGGGGAUUCUGGUCUCCGAAUGGAGGCGUGGGUUCGAAUCCCACUUCUGACA